rnacentral:misc_RNA from 1 species
CCGGUUUCUUGCGUUGCGUACCUACAGGAAGGCAUUCGUGAUUGUCCCAACGACCCUGGUUCGUUUAGAGGUCCCCGUUUUGGCGGGGCGAGAGACGAAAGUUGGAGCUUGGUCCGUUACCCACGUCGCGUCCGGCUGUCGUGGUGAACGGGGCAGUGCUUAAGCUCUCGGAUACGGAAAGCAUUGAGGGCGUGGACAUCUCUCAUCCUUGCCCGAGCAUGCAUUGGAUCGGACCCUAAGAACGUUGUGCACGACUGUCGCUCCCGCCUCGGUUCGGCC